rnacentral:rRNA from 1 species
AUACGGAGGGGGUUAGCGUUGUUCGGAAUUACUGGGCGUAAAGCGUACGUAGGCGGAUUGGAAAGUAUGGGGUGAAAUCCCAGGGCUCAACCCUGGAACUGCCUCAUAAACUCCCAGUCUAGAGUUCGUGAGAGGUGAGUGGAAUUCCGAGUGUAGAGGUGAAAUUCGUAGAUAUUCGGAGGAAAACCAGUGGCGAAGGCGGCUCACUGGCUCGAUACUGACGCUGAGGUACGAAAGUGUGGGGAGCAAACAGGAUUAGAUACACUAGUAGUCC